AUACUUACCUGGCAGGGGAGAUACUAUGAUCAUGAAGGUGGUUUUCCUAGGGCGAGGCUUAUCCAUUGCACUCUGGAUGUGCUGACCCCUGCGAUUUCCCCAAAUGUGGGAAACUCGACUGCAUAAUUUGUGGUAGUGGGGGACUGCGUUCGCGCUUUCCCCUG
rnacentral:snRNA from 1 species